rnacentral:rRNA from 1 species
UGGGGAAUAUUGCACAAUGGGCGCAAGCCUGAUGCAGCCAUGCCGCGUGUAUGAAGAAGGCCUUCGGGUUGUAAAGUACUUUCAGCGGGGAGGAAGGGAGUAAAGUUAAUACCUUUGCUCAUUGACGUUACCCGCAGAAGAAGCACCGUCUAACUCCGUGCCAGCAGCCGCGGUAAUACGGAGGGUGCAAGCGUUAAUCGGAAUUACUGGGCGUAAAGCGCACGCAGGCGUUUUGUUAAGUCAGAUGUGAAAUCCCCGGGCUCAACCUGGGAACUGCAUCUGAUACUGGCAAGCUUGAGUCUCGUAGAGGGGGGUAUAAUUCCAGGUGUAGCGGUGAAAUGCGUAGAGAUCUGGAGGAAUACCGGUGGCGAAGGCGGCCCCCUGGACGAAGACUGACGCUCAGGUGCGAAAGCGUGGGGAGCAAACAGG